rnacentral:rRNA from 1 species
UACGGAGGGUGCAAGCGUUAAUCGGAAUUACUGGGCGUAAAGGGUGCGUAGGUGGUUUGAUAAGUUGUCUGUGAAAUUCCUGGGCUCAACCUGGGCAUGUCAGAUGAUACUGUUAGACUAGAGUAUAGGAGAGGGUAGUGGAAUUUCCGGUGUAGCGGUGAAAUGCGUAGAGAUCGGAAGGAACACCAGUGGCGAAGGCGGCUACCUGGCCUAAUACUGACACUGAGGCACGAAAGCGUGGGGAGCAAACAGGAUUAGAUACCCGGGUAGU